GACGAACGCUGGCAGCGUGCUUAACACGUGCAAGUCGAGCGGUAAGGCCCUUUCGGGGGUACACGAGCGGCGAACGGGUGAGUAACACGUGGGUGACCUGCCCUCAGCUCUGGGAUAAGCCUGGGAAACCGGGUCUAAUACCGGAUAUGACUCCAUGACGCAUGUUGUGGGGUGGAAAGCCUUGUGCGGCUGAGGAUGGGCCCGCGGCCUAUCAGCUUGUUGGUGGGGUGAUGGCCUACCAAGGCGACGACGGGUAGCCGGCCUGAGAGGGCGACCGGCCACACUGGGACUGAGACACGGCCCAGACUCCUACGGGAGGCAGCAGUGGGGAAUCUUGCGCAAUGGGCGAAAGCCUGACGCAGCGACGCCGCGUGA
rnacentral:rRNA from 1 species